CUGAUCCUCACAGAGCCUGGUGACUUCUUCCUCCCAGGUCUGUGGAUCAACACUGUCUCCCUGGCCUCUACCCAGCGCGCAGGACCCCUUAGCAGAGCAGGAGAACUCAGGAUCCAGCCAGCUGCCGGCACACUUUCGUCCUCCUCCGCACACGAGGAUCCCCAGGCCCAGCGGUGUUAGCCCAGAGAGGAGCGGCGUUUGGGAUGUGAUCCACAGCUGAUCCCUCGUGGCCCCUCCUCUCCCGAAUCCUGAAACAUGAGGAGGCCCUUCAGCUGCUGGCUCGGAGUCCGACUAUGGGAACUUUCUCCGGUCUACGGGGGCAGCAAGGGUCUCGCCUCAGGGACUUGGUUUAUUUAUCUAGCUGGACUCCAUCCC
rnacentral:lncRNA from 1 species